GACGAACGCUGGCGGCGCGCCUAACACAUGCAAGUCGAACGGAGUUAUUUCAGCAGAAGCUUUCGGGUGGACGCAGGGAUAACUUAGUGGCGAACGGGUGAGUAACACGUGAGGAACCUGCCCUGGAGUGGGGGAUAACAGUUGGAAACGACUGCUAAUACCGCAUAAGCCCACAGCACCGCAUGGUGCAGCGGGAAAAGGAGCAAUCCGCUGAAGGGUGGCCUCGCGUCCGAUUAGCUAGAUGGCGGGGUAACGGCCCACCAUGGCGACGAUCGGUAGCCGGACUGAGAGGUUGAUCGGCCACAUUGGGACUGAGGCACGGCCCAG
rnacentral:rRNA from 1 species